AGUGAACGCUGGCGGCAGGCCUAACACAUGCAAGUCGAGCGGCUGCAGGGGAGUUGUUCCUCUCUUGAGCGGCGGACGGGGGCGUGAGGGCUAUGAAUCUGCCUCUGCGUAGUCGUUGGCGUCCAGAAACGGGCACUUAUACCACAUCCGUCCAGAGCGUGAAGGUGGGGGAUCGUGGUCGCACACGCUCUCGGAUUAGGCUGAGUCGGAUUAGCUAGUUGGCGGGGUAAGGGCCUACCAAGGCGACGAUCCGUAACUGGUCUGAGAGGAUGAUCAGCCACACUGGAACUGAGACACGGUCCAGACUCCUACGGGAGGCAGCAGUGGGGAAUAUUGGACAAUGGGCGAAAGCCUGAUCCAGCCAUGCCGCGUGUGUGAAGAAGGUCUUCGGAUUGUAAAGCACUUUUAGUUGGGAGGAAGGGCAGUAGGUUAAUACCUUGCUGUGUUGACGGUACCAACAGAAUAAGCACCGGCUAACUUCGUG
rnacentral:rRNA from 1 species